rnacentral:rRNA from 1 species
GAUGAACGCUGGCGGCGUGCCUAAUACAUGCAAGUCGAGCGAACAGACGAGGAGCUUGCUCCUCUGACGUUAGCGGCGGACGGUGAGUAACACGUGGAUAACCUACCUAUAAGACUGGGAUAACUUCGGGAAACCGGAGCUAAUACCGGAUAACAUGUUGAACCGCAUGGUUCAACAGUGAAAGACGGUCUUGCUGUCACUUAUAGAUGGAUCCGCGCCGCAUUAGCUAGUUGGUAAGGUAACGGCUUACCAAGGCAACGAUGCGUAGCCGACCUGAGAGGGUGAUCGGCCACACUGGAACUGAGACACGGUCCAGACUCCUACGGGAGGCAGCAGUAGGGAAUCUUCCGCAAUGGGCGAAAUCCUGACGGAGCAACGCCGCGUGAGUGAAGAAGGUCUUCGGAUCGUAAAACUCUGUUAUUAGGGAAGAACAAAUGUGUAAGUAACUAUGCACGUCUUGACGGUACCUAAUCAGAAAGCCACGGCUAACUACGUG